rnacentral:lncRNA from 8 species
AUAGCAGAAACAAGAGAAGAGGAGGGAGUGGGCGGAUGUGUGUGUGUGUGUGGAGUAGGGAUGGGGAUGAGUGUGUGUGUUCCGUUUGAAACAGCUUGAGUGCAAGUGUACUUCUCCCCAACAUGAUGGAUCACAUACAAAACCAAGCUCCUGAAGGAGGAAUGCUGGGCACGAUGUCAUCCAAGCUCACCCAGAAUUUCCUCACAAGCCAAUUAAGGAUUCCUCCCGUGUUGCUGCUGCCAGCUCUCUGCUCCCACUCCAAGCUCCCUGUAGGAAUGAGCAGGAGCAGGCCAGUAGCAGUCAUGCCUGGGAAAUAUAAUUAACCUCAAAUGUGUUAUUAGUGGCUGUCAUAAUGAAGAAAUUAAGAACAGACUGCCGAACGCAAUGACACAACAGACUGGCAGAGCAGUUCUUAAAAGGAUCACCGUGUCAGCAUACUGAUUAAGAAAGAGAGAUGAACACCCCAUAAUUCUUGCCAGAAGAAAGUCUGUCCUUCAGCGCUCUAACAACAGUACUCUACAAAAUGUGUUUAUGCAGUUGUUAUACAGUAAUAAAGCUAAUUGAUUCUUGAUUCUUCUCAGACAUACUGCUCUCUUGUCAGGUUACCUCAUAUUGUGCUACUUUGAUAAACUACCUUGUUUGCAAGACUGAAGAUAUCUAGUCAUACCUUCUGAAUAGUCCUGCAUUGGUAAACACACAAACGCACACACACGUACUGGAAUACAGCUCAUUCAAUGCUGUCUUAGUGCUAGCCUCUGACUGUGGUGGUACUGUAGAUCUAAACCAGCUAUUCUCUUCACCGCUUAACAUUGUCAAUGAGCCGACCUCACAAAAGGAUCACAGGAAGAUAAAUUACUAUGACAAAUAACGUCAUUACAUUAAUUGAUACCGUAUCAAUCAUCACUUGAGCAAAAAAAGAGUUAUGAUCAGAAUGAAAUGCCAUUACAGGUGCUGUGUAGUACCUAGAUGUAUUUUGGCAAACAUAUUUAUGUUCCUUUGUGUGCAACUGAAACAUUUUUAUGGUCCAGUUAGGCCUCUGAGCUUCAGCAAACAAGGGAAAUAGGAGGGGUGGUCAACAACAAUGACAAUAAUCCAGUGAUAGAGUUUACCCAAGAAAUACUUUCCAAAGAAAUACUUUCCAAAAAGGACUGAUUCCUGGUAAACAAGUUGGAGCAUUCAAAAAACAAGCAGAGAUGAAUAUCUUCUUAACUCAGACUUUAUUCUAUGAUUGGAUGUAUACAGGUACUGACGUUUAGACAUCACAUGACUUAUUUCUGAGAGAUCCAUUCUUAAUGUCUCACUCACAUUCCAAUGUGUGGACCAGCUUCCCACAGCCCAGGUACCUUUACAAUGGCAGUCAUUGUGUGUCCCACUUUUCUCUACGCAAUAGUCAUCGAAUUCCAUUAGUGCAUUGGGAUUUGGUGAUUCAUUAUCGGACUGGUAAGAAGACCAUGUGCGAGGACAUUUUUUUUCUCCUAUGACUGAACUCAAAAGCGAAAAAGAUACUAAUUAAAAUUACAAAGUGUAAUUUCCUCAUGUUAAAUCUCUAAUCAUAAGUUUGGCAUCCCGAUAAACAAGAAAAUAGAAAACACUCCCUGUUGCACGCAUGUCAAACCAACAUGCUGUCUGGCUGGUGGAAAGACUGGAAACAGAACUAAAACUAAAAGCUGU